rnacentral:rRNA from 1 species
AGCGGCGGACGGGUGAGUAAUACUUGGGAAGCUGCCCGGUAGAGGGGGAUAACAGUUGGAAACGACUGCUAAUACCGCAUAACCUCUUCGGAGCAAAGCGGGGGACCUUCGGGCCUCGCGCUACCGGAUGCGCCCAAGUGGGAUUAGCUAGUUGGUGGGGUAACGGCUCACCAAGGCGACGAUCCCUAGCUGGUCUGAGAGGAUGAUCAGCCACACUGGAACUGAGACACGGUCCAGACUCCUACGGGAGGCAGCAGUGGGGAAUAUUGCACAAUGGGCGAAAGCCUGAUGCAGCCAUGCCGCGUGUGUGAAGAAGGCCUUCGGGUUGUAAAGCACUUUCAGCGAGGAGGAAAGGGUGAGUCUUAAUACGGCUCAUCUGUGACGUUACUCGCAGAAGAAGCACCGGCUAACUCCGUGCCAGCAGCCGCGGUAAUACGGAGGGUGCGAGCGUUAAUCGGAAUUACUGGGCGUAAAGCGCAUGCAGGCGGCUGAUUAAGCCAGAUGUGAAAGCCCGGGGCUUAACCUCGGAAUUGCAUUUGGAACUGGUCAGCUAGAGUUCUUGAGAGGGUGGUAGAAUUUCAGGUGUAGCGGUGAAAUGCGUAGAGAUCUGAAGGAAUACCGGUGGCGAAGGCGGCCACCUGGCAAGUAACUGA